CCCUUAGAUGUUCUGGGCCGCACGCGCGCUACACUGUUCGACGCAGCGAGUCUUAACCUUGACCGAAAGGUUUGGGUAAUCUUCAGCAAAGUCCAACGUGAUGGGGAUCGAUCAUUGCAAUUAUUGAUCGUGAACGAGGAAUUCCUAGUAAGUGCAAGUCAUCAGCUUGCGCUGAUUACGUCCCUGCCCUUUGUACACACCGCCCGUCGCUACUACCGAUUGAAUGGUUUAGUGAGAUCUCUGGAUUGACGCUGGCUAGGGGGCGACCCUUGGCCAGACUGUUGAGAAACUGCUCAAACUUGAUCAUUUAGAGGAAGUAAAAGUCGUAACA
rnacentral:rRNA from 1 species